rnacentral:rRNA from 1 species
AUUGAACGCUGGCGGCAUGCCUUACACAUGCAAGUCGAACGGCAGCACGGGAGCAAUCCUGGUGGCGAGUGGCGAACGGGUGAGUAAUAUAUCGGAACGUGCCCAGUUGUGGGGGAUAGCCCGGCGAAAGCCGGAUUAAUACCGCAUACGACCUGAGGGUGAAAGCGGGGGAUCGCAAGACCUCGCGCAGUUGGAGCGGCCGAUAUCAGAUUAGCUAGUGGUGAGGUAAAGGCUCACCAAGGCGACGAUCUGUAGCUGGUCUGAGAGGACGACCAGCCACACUGGGACUGAGACACGGCCCAGACUCCUACGGGAGGCAGCAGUGGGGAAUUUUGGACAAUGGGCGCAAGCCUGAUCCAGCCAUGCCGCGUGUGGGAAGAAGGCC